UACGGAGGGUGCGAGCGUUGUCCGGAAUCACUGGGCGUAAAGGGCGCGUAGGCGGCUCAUGAAGGCUGUGGUGAAAGUCCGGGGCUCAACCUCGGAUCGGCCGUGGCGACUCGUGGGCUGGAGCACUGUAGAGGCGGGUGGAAUUCCGGGUGUAGCGGUGGAAUGCGUAGAGAUCCGGAGGAAGACCGGUGGCGAAGGCGGUCUGCUGGGCAGUUUCUGACACUGAUGCGCGACAGCGUGGGGAGCAAACAGG
rnacentral:rRNA from 1 species